rnacentral:rRNA from 1 species
CGCANGGCGAAGCCUGACGGUGCACGCCGCGUGAACGAUGAAGGUUUUCGGAUCGUAAAGUUCUGUUAUGAGGGAAGAACACGUGCCGUUCGAAUAGGGCGGCACCUUGACGGUACCUCACGAGAAAGCCCCGGCUAACUACGUGCCAGCAGCCGCGGUAAUACGA